GACGAACGCUGGCGGCGUGCCUAAUACAUGCAAGUAGAACGCUGAAGCGAGGAGCUUGCUCCUCUUGGAUGAGUUGCGAACGGGUGAGUAACGCGUAGGUAACCUGCCUUUUAGCGGGGGAUAACUAUUGGAAACGAUAGCUAAUACCGCAUAACAAUUGAUGACACAUGUCAUAUAUUUGAAAGGGGCAUUUGCUCUACCACAAGAUGUACUUGCGUUGUCUUAGCUAGUAGGUGAUGUAAUGGCUCACCGAGGCGAAGAUACCUAACCGACCUGAAAGGGGUGACAGCCACGAUGGGACUGGGACACGGCUCAGACUCCUUCGGGAGGCAGCAGUAGGGAAUUCUCCGCAAUGGGGGCAACGCUGGACGGGCAACGCCGCGUGAGUGGAUAAGGUUUUCGGAUCGGAAAGCUCUGUUGUAAGUCAAGAACGGAUGUUAUAGUGGAAAGUUCACACUGUGACGGUAGCUUACCAGAAAGGGACGGCUAACUACGUG
rnacentral:rRNA from 1 species